rnacentral:tRNA from 1 species
CAGUGGCCGAGUGGAUAACGCGAUGGCUUUUCAAGCGCAAGGUACUGGGUUUGAGUCCCAGAGUGAA